rnacentral:rRNA from 1 species
AGUGAACGCUGGCGGUAGGCCUAACACGUGCAAGUCGAACGGCAGCACAGUAAGAGCUUGCUCUUACGGGUGGCGAGUGGCGGACGGGUGAGGAAUACAUCGGAAUCUACUUUUUCGUGGGGGAUAACGUAGGGAAACUUACGCUAAUACCGCAUACGACCUACGGGUGAAAGCAGGGGAUCUUCGGACCUUGCGCGAUUGAAUGAGCCGAUGUCGGAUUAGCUAGUUGGCGGGGUAAAGGCCCACCAAGGCGACGAUCCGUAGCUGGUCUGAGAGGAUGAUCAGCCACACUGGAACUGAGACACGGUCCAGACUCCUACGGGAGGCAGCAGUGGGGAAUAUUGGACAAUGGGCGCAAGCCUGAUCCAGCCAUACCGCGUGGGUGAAGAAGGCCUUCGGGUUGUAAAGCCCUUUUGUUGGGAAAGAAAAGCAGCAGGUUAAUACCCCGCUGUUCUGACGGUACCCAAAGAAUAAGCACCGGCUAACUUCGU